UCCGCCGCGGCCACUCAGACAUCCCAAGCUGUGGCAUGUGCGCAUGCACAAGAAAAUAGCAAAGGGGGAGCGCGGCAUCAGCGACGCUGAGACCUGAGUUGCCACGGCGUAGCAAGUGUAAUACCAGCGAGGGGAAGCCCAGGGACAAAACAACAGGGAGCGUAUGGCAGCGCUGGCUGGGGGAGGAGAACUGUUACCAUGGAGAAUGACAAAGGGAGCGCAGUGAAGGCAGCUGAGUACAUCCUGCCCUAACUGAUCGGACGAAGGGGGGCGGAGCGUAACGGACGAAAAGGGGGCGGAGCUUCACGGCCGAAAAGGGGGCGGGGCUACACGGAACCAGAAGACUGCAGUACCACAGAGGAGCGGGAAGAUCCUCUUCAAAUAUUCCUCUUCUCUUUUCCAGUGUCUCCAAAUAAUAAAGAUCAAAUACUCGGUAUACACUAUAACAGAAUAAUGAAAACAUCCUGCUUCUAUGCUAACUUCCUGUCAGACUUCCACCAAGAAGAUCAAAGAUCUAUAUGAGAGCAGCCACUGUCAGCCAGGUGAGUAUGGGUAUAACCCAGUGGUUCUCAAACUCGGUCCUCAGGACCGCACACAGUUCACGUUUUCCAUUUCACCCGGCAGGAGCACUGUGUAUCUCCAACUGUCACAUUUUAAAAAUCUACAGGUGACCUGCAAAACAUGAACCGUGUGGGGUCCUGAGGACCGAGUUUGAGAACCUGUGGUAUAAUCCAUUGCACUGGCAGUGAACGGCAGGCAUUCCAAUCUACAUGGACUACAAGGACAGCCCUGCCACUACCAGAGCAUUAUGCCCUGGAGAAUGGCAUGCAGUUUUUUCCAUCCUAUUGUUAAAUAUCUGAACAUAUUAGUAACCACAACAAUAACAGCAAUACGUUUGUUAUUGCAAACCUAUUACAGGUUGAGUAUCCCAUAUCCAAAUAUUCCAAAAUACGGAAUAUUCCGAAAUUCGGACUUUUUUGAGUGAGACUGAGAUAGUGAAACCUUUGUUUUUUGAUGGCUCAAUGUAUACAAACUUUGUUUAAUACUCAAAGUUAUUAAAAAUAUUGUAUUAAAUGACCUUCAGGCUGUGUGCAUAAGAUGUAUAUGAAACAUAAAUGAAUUGUGUAAAUGUAGACACACUUUCUUUAAUGCACAAAGUUAUAAAAAAUAUUGGCUAAAAUGACCUUCAGGCUGUGUGUAUAAGGUGUAUAUGUAACAUAAAUGCAUUCUGUGCUUAUAUUUAGGUCCCAUCACCAUGAUAUCUCAUUAUGUAUGCAAUUAUUCCAAAAUAUGGAAAAAUCCGAUAUCCAAAAUACCUCUGGUCCCAAGCAUUGUGGAUAAGGGAUACUCAACCUGUAUAGAAUUGUUUUGGAUAAUUGUAACAUAUAAAGCCGCUAUUAGAGUAAUUUAUAUUGUAGCAAUGUAACGAUUGCACCAACACAAUGUGUAGACAGGGUGGUGCUGAAGAACCUAUAUAAGAAAUCAGAAACAUUACAAGCCAAACUAGAACCCAGCAUGUUCAAUAUCACUAAAAAGAAAAAAGGGUAUUUUACAGGAAAAAGUAGAGAAAUGAGGACAGAGAUAACUAUCAAUCCUCUGGAUAGAUUAAGAGAAAGACCCAAGGGCUUCUUUAGGUGUGCCAGAGCCAGGUGCCUCACUUGCAGGAAUGUAAAUUCGUGCAGUAAGACAUUUGAGUCUAGAGCCACGGGUGAAUCUUUUGCUAUAGAGGGCUUCUUGAACUGUGAAUCCACGUAUACCUUAUAGAAUGCGGAUGUGGAUACCAGUAUGUCGGACGAACUAUUAGAAAACUGAAAGUGCGCUUUCUCGAACAUCGAAGAAACAUCAUAAAUCAAAAUAUUACACAUAGUGUGUCGCGACACACAAGCCAGUGCAGACAAGGUAAUAUUUCCGAUGUCCGACUAAAAGCACUUGAACAGAUCAAGAUAACGUAAAGAGGAGGCGAUAGAUUCAAUGCUUUAUGCAGAAAAGAGGCCUUCUGGAUUUUCCGUCUAAAGACUCUGGAGCCCUUGGGCCUAAAUGAGAACAUAGAACUUAAUAAUAUCUAAUGUUGUUAUAUGCAUAUGUUCCCUCAAGGAGGUACUUCUGUUAUAAAUGUGCCCCUCAGACUAUUGCUCCCGAAUGUCCCUAUGUGUAUAUGUACAUGUCCCUGUAAGUGAAUACUUGAAACAUAGGAGUCUUUCAGUCACAUAUAAGUAGUGACGUUAAUCCUAUGGUCUGUAUCCCCUAUAUCUAGUAAUUGGUGUAUCCUUUAUUAUAAUACAUAAACUAAGAUUGAAUAAUUCGUCUUUUCACAAAAAAGUGGAGAGUUUCCACUAAGCAUAUACAUGAAUAAGUUCUUAUUAUAUGUAUAUGGUCCCUUCCCAAGCUGAUUUAUAUAUGCAGGGAGUAUAUCAAUUAUAGAGAUCUCCUUAUAUGUAUUCAUCUUUUGGAUUAUAUUAUAUUGUUAUCCUCAUAUGCAUCUUCUAUUCAUAUGUGUCUGUAUUCUCUAUCUCACUUCACUCCCCUAUACUUCUUGUUUUAUAUAUUAAGGAAAACAUAGGUUGUAUAUAUCCCCUAAUCAUUAGGGUCCUAAAAUAAGAAUUUAAAAAUAUUUUAAAAAAUAAUUAGAACUAAUUACCACUGGUGGUUCAAACCAUAUAAGGGUUAAUUAAGAUAUAGGUAUGUGGACUAGAUGUCUAUUGCCGGAUUUAUGACACCUCAAUGUGGCUACUAGAUCAAGUAUCAUUUUUAUAACUUUUUAUCAAUUUUUUUUUUGUAUAUUAAUUAUAUAUAGGGAAGCCAAUCCCGGGCCAUUUUUUCAAUCCCGGGUAUCGGGAUUGAAAAAUGGUCAAUCCCGGGAUUCCCGGGAUUGGCUUUAGACUGUGUCCGGCCGACCCCCACGCCCCACCCCUCCCGCCCUGCAGACAUAAAAAAAAAACGUACCUGCACAGCCAGGUCCUGAGGACGCUCAAUGCUGAUCCCUCAAUCCCCGGGAUUGGAGCUUCCAAUCCCGGGAUUGAAUCCCUGCCGUUUUUGGGCCUAAAUCCCGGGAUCCCGCCGAUCCCGAUCCCGGGAUUGGCAUCCCUAAUUAUGUAUGUUUACUUAUGUAUACAACAUAUAGUGCAUAUAUAGGUGUACCAGAAAGGCAUAACUAUAAACUGGUUAAAUUAGAUAUUUUAAUGAGAAACCGAUCAGCUGUUAUUAAUAAUGUCUGAACAGAAAUUUUUGACCAAUGGGGAGUCCCCGAGGGGGAUAAAUAGAGACUGCACUAAUGAAAAUCUAAACCUCAGAGGAAACCGCCACCCAUUAAAGGCGGAGAAACGCGCCAGUUGAUCGAGAUACAUCAGGUGGAACGCACCGGAAGCUCCGAAAAACCCGGAAGUCGCGGUCCGCGACCAAACGUUCCCUGCUACACCACACGCUUCCAGCGUCUAAGGCUCUGUUGGAGGCAGCUGCCGGUACCAACCAGCCAGGCAACAGACACUCUGAACCGCCGCAGUGCGGAGGGAUAAGCUUCGCCCACGGGAGUGUCGUGCCGUGGAACAACAACUACCAGCACCACAUCACGUAACUAUUCAUUGCUGCUAAGCAUUUUGCCUUACAAAACUGCCAAAACCAACAAACUUUUCUACCAUUAUUAGUGCGGGACUGUGACUUUUCAAAUGUGGCACUUGCUAUGCUUAUUUAACAACAACUAAUAUUGAUAUUAAUAAGUCCCUUGGAGGUAGAUAACAGCUUUACUAACCAGUAGUUCUGUAUGAAAAGAUUGUGCUGUGCCUAACGGACUAUUACAUCGUGUGCAUGCCUUCUACUAACACCAAAGCCUAAUUGGCGAGAGCUUAUAUUGUACAAUUUAUUUAUUUUUCUUCAGUCUUGACUGUUUUAUCAUGAUGGUUUGAUUAUGUUUAAAUUUAUUGUUUUUAACAGCUAA